CACUUCAAGACUUAAAGCUGUUGUCAAUGAUGGAAAUUCAUUGCUUGACUACUACUACUCAAUAGGAAGCUUGGUACUUAUCAAGGAUCAAACUUCUGGAGUUGAUGUACUUCUUGGUGAUGCUAAUGGAAUAUUCCAUUCCAUUAAGGCUUUGAGUCAGAGUGAUGGAAGGUGGCGCUUCAGUUCAAAUAAUCCCAAGUCUAGUACCUAUGCUGCUGGAUUAGCCCUUGAAGCACUUGCUGGAGUUGCAUCG